GAUGAACGCUGGCGGCGUGCCUAAUACAUGCAAGUCGAGCGAAGCGGGGACGGGCGAGUAACACGUGGAUAACCUCCUAUAAGACUGGGAUAAAUUCGGGAAACCGGAGCUAAACCGGAUCCUUAUUGAUGGAUCCGGGCUGCAUUAGCUAGUUGGUAUGGUGACGGCUUACCAAGGCAACGAUGCAUAGCCGACCUAGGAGGGUGAUCGGCCCCACUGGAACUGAGACACGAUCCAGACUCCUACGGGAGGCAGCGGUAGGGAAACUACCGCAGUGGACGAAGGCCUGUCGGGACAACGCCGCGUGGGUGAUGAAGUGCUUGGGAUCGUAGAACUAUAUUAUUAGGGAAGCGGUACCUAAUCAGAAAGCCACGGCUAACUACGUGCCAGCAGCCGCGGUAAUAC
rnacentral:rRNA from 1 species